rnacentral:lncRNA from 1 species
GGCAGGCCCAGGAGUGAUAAGCGUGAACUAGAGAGUGCUGUGCAGGAGGAAGCUGGGGCCGCCGUCGGGCCUUCUCCCUCCAGGGGCCCAAGAGCCACUGGUACUCAGUGUCUGGGUGGGGGCAGGGGGGAUUUUUGUUCUCCCAGCACCUGCGGCUGUUGAGACCAGAGAAGCUGGUGGUCGACCACAGCCUGGGGUAUUAGUUCACCCCUAGCUUCUCCCCAGCGAGACCCCAGGGCCCUUGGGCACAGGGGAUUAAGCCUCUAUCUGCUUACGUGCAAGCGGAAGAAAUAGGCCCAGAGAGCAACAGUGGCGGGUCUGCAGUCACACAGCCAACUUGCGCUUGUGGCAGUGGCAAGGUUGGUGAGUAUCUGAGUCUUCAGGCCACGGCAUUUUCCGCUCGAGUGGAGCCUGAAGUUCUGAGGGUACCCCUCACUCAAGCUCCAGGCGUCAGGAAAAGAACAUUCCACGAAGUCCAUCUGGAAGACGGUCCUUUCCCUGCUGCCCCCAGCUUCUAGAACAUUCCCUGGAACACAGCAAGUGUUCAGUAUUGUUCAUGGAGUGACAGAUGUCUCAGCCAAGAAGGCUCAGCUUAGGGACCGUCACCUCCAGGAAGCCUUCCCAACCUGCACUGAUCACUUCUUCUUCUUCUCUUUGGGAUUAUCACUUGUAUUGUAAUAAAAUCUUGUUUUUUUUCUUUAAAAAAUAUUAUUUGCAUUCAGCAAAAUUCACCCUUUUUGAUAUACAGUUCUGAGGUUUUUUUUAGUUCUAUAAGUUUUGUCAAAUAUGUAAAGUUGUAAUCUCCAACACAAUCAAAAUAUAAAACAAUUUCCUCACCCCUCCCCAAUUCCCUUAUGCUCUUUUGUAUCCAACACUUCUUCCCACUCCAGCCCCUGGCAACCACGGAUUUGCUUUCUGUCUGUACAACACUGCCUCUUCCAGAAUGUCAUAUAUAAAAUCACGCUGUUUA